rnacentral:rRNA from 1 species
UGGGGAAUAUUGCACAAUGGGCGCAAGCCUGAUGCAGCCAUGCCGCGUGUGUGAAGAAGGCCUUCGGGUUGUAAAGCACUUUCAGCGAGGAGGAAGGUGGUGAGCUUAAUACGCUCAUCAAUUGACGUUACUCGCAGAAGAAGCACCGGCUAACUCCGUGCCAGCAGCCGCGGUAAUACGGAGGGUGCAAGCGUUAAUCGGAAUUACUGGGCGUAAAGCGCACGCAGGCGGUUUGUUAAGUCAGAUGUGAAAUCCCCGGGCUCAACCUGGGAACUGCAUUUGAAACUGGCAAGCUAGAGUCUCGUAGAGGGGGGUAGAAUUCCAGGUGUAGCGGUGAAAUGCGUAGAGAUCUGGAGGAAUACCGGUGGCGAAGGCGGCCCCCUGGACGAAGACUGACGCUCAGGUGCGAAAGCGUGGGGCAGCAAACAGGAUUAGAUACCCCUGGUAGUCCAGCGCUGUAAACGAUGUCGAUUUGGAGGUUGUGCCCUUGAGGCGUGGCUUCCGGAGCUAACGCGUUAAAGUCGACCGCCUGGGGGAGUACGGCGCAAGGUUAAAACUCAAAGGAAUUGAC